rnacentral:rRNA from 1 species
UCUUGACACCCCGAAACUACGUGAGCUACUUCAAGACAGCCUAUUAACAGGGCUAACCCGUCUCUGUGGCAAAAGAGUGGGAAGAACUUUGAGUAGAGGUGAUAAACCUACCGAACCUAGUUAUAGCUGGUUGUCCAAGAAAUGAAUAAAAGUUCAGCCUCUAAGCCUUCUCCUUUCACCUGAACUUAACCCCUUUAGAUGUAUUAAAGAAACUCAAAGAGUUAGUCAAAGGGGGUACAACUCCUUUGAAUAAAGAUACAACUUUAAUAGGCGGGUAAAGAUCACAAUAACCAAAGCUAGACAUUCUGGUGGGCUUAAAAGCAGCCAUCCCCUUAGAAAGCGUUAAAGCUCAAACAUAUUAUUUAUACCUUCUUAUCCUGAUCAAUAAAUCUCACCCCCCUAACCAUACUGGACCCUCCCAUGCCUACAUGGGUGUGAUUAUGCUAAUAUGAGUAAUAAGAGAGCUCCGCCUCUCUCCUUGCAUACAUGUACCUCGGAACAGACAACCCACCGACCAUCAACGGCCCCAAACAAAGAGGGUAUUAAAUCACAAACUAAAACCUAGUAAAAUAUCUAAAAAUCAACCGUUAACCCCACACAGGUGUGCCCCAGGAAAGACCUAAAGAAAGAGAAGGAACUCGGCAAACAUAUCAAGCCUCGCCUGUUUACCAAAAACAUCGCCUCUUGUACCCCCC